UUUUUUCGAAAAAGAAAGAUUUAAAUAUUAAUAAUUUUAUUGUUGAAUAAAUAAGUUAAAUUAAUUUUUUGUGCUGAUAUAGUAUUCGAUUUUUUGUAUCUAAUUAUUCUUUAUUUAAUUUAAUUAAUUUAAUUUUUUGGUUUAAUAAAAAAUUAAAAAUUUAUUUAGGGUAAGCUUGAAUUUUGUACUAUAGUAUUUUUAUUAUUUUAAUUAUUAAGUUUAAAAUUAUCUUUAAAUAUUAUGUUUUAAUUAAUUAAAUUUUUUUAUUUUUAUAAGCUUUACUUUGGUAAUAUUUUGAAUAAAUUAAUUAAUUAAUUUAGUUGAUAAAAUAAUGAUUGUAUAAGUAGAAUAUAUAAAUUAACAUGUAAGAAUUCAGCAAUUUUUAAUUUCGUCUGUUUAUCAA
rnacentral:rRNA from 1 species